rnacentral:sRNA from 1 species
UUUUAUGUAAUUAAGAUUUAAUUGAUUUCGUAUAUAAAAUAUGAAAUUAUUUUACGAACUUAUUUGUUUAUAAUUUGGUAACAGAUAGAUAUUUGAAUAUUCAGUAUAUUUUGCUUCAGAUUAGGAAAUCUUUGAUGACCCGUCUUUAGAUCCAAUAAGCCCUAUAAUUAAGAGAUGAAUAUUGUCGUUAAAUGAUUUUGGUAACCUUAAUGACGUCAUAAAAGGAUUUUGUUUUUGAUUAAAUUUUUCUAAUGGCAUUGUUAUGUAAUUA